rnacentral:rRNA from 1 species
GUCGCUCGUCCCGGGGCAUUCAGCCCGUUUUCUUGCCGACAGGCCUUUUCGGUGUUGGGGUGCGCUCGCGCGUGCCUUCUCCGGGAGGGUUUUUUCAUUUGGUGGCGAGACGGGUGCACUUGCUCCGGUCGUCAGACCGACGGUUCCUUCGCAGGCAGUGUGGACUCCCUUGGUCGGCAAACGGCAGUACAACGUUGCUCUGUUUACAGGGCCUCGAUCUCUUGCUCCGACUGGGAGGGAAACUGGCCUGGGGACCUAGGACCGCAUCGGGUCGGCUGUCUCCGUUACUCUCGAGCCGUGUGCCCUUGCUGCCUCUUUUGGUGGCAAGACGGGCGCGAGGACGCAUCGGAAGGAACGGGUGGCGCUUCGGCCUAAAUGGUGCUUGUCGGUGGCGGAUCAGGUCGGUACUCCACCCGACCCG